AGUCCCCACAGGACACAGCACAGACAUGAGGGCUCCUGCUCACCUCCUGGGGCUGCUGCUGCUCUGGAUCCCAGGUUCCCGAUGUGAUAUCCAGAUGACCCAGUCUCCAUCUCAGCCUGUGUCACUAAAAGACACAGUCACCAUCAAGUGUCAAGCCAGUCAGAGUGUUAGUACUGCAUUAAGCUGGUACCAGCAAAAACCAGGGGAAUCUCCAAAGCUCCUGAUCUAUGCUGCAUCUAAUCUAAAUACUGGAGUCCCAUCCAGGUUCCGUGGCAGUGGGUCUGGGACUGAUUUUACCCUCACCAUCAGCAGUGUGGAGCCAGAAGAUAUUGGAACUUAUUACUGUCAACAGUAUUAUGAUUACCCACCCACAGUGGAACAUCUCAUAACAUAA